rnacentral:misc_RNA from 1 species
UCCAGCACUGUCAUUGGAGACGGCGUCUACAAGGCCUUAUGGAUGCUGGCUCUUGCUCUUGUGUUCAAAGGAAUCAUCACCGUUUUCACUUUUGGCAUAAAAAUUCCAUGUGGGUUGUUCAUACCUAGCAUGGCUGUUGGUGCAAUCAUGGGAAGAAUGAUUGGAAUUGGUGUUGAACAAAUAGUGGUUGCAAACCACGACAACCCUUUCUUUGAGAACAUGUGCGAGUCAAAACAGUUUUGUAGAAUCACCCCUGGUCUGUACGCCAUGGUCGGGGCUGCAGCUGCCUUAGGGGGAGUGACUCGAAUGACAGUGUCGCUGGUGGUGAUCAUGUUUGAGUUGACGGGGGGACUGCAGUACAUUGUCCCCCUCAUGGUUGCCAGCAUGACCAGCAAGUGGGUCGGCGACGCUCUUGGAAAAGAGGGAAUAUAUGAUGCUCACAUACUGUUAAAUGGGUAUCCGUACCUGGACAGCAAAGAAGAAUUCACCCACACGACGCUGGCCUCUGAUGUCAUGAGACCCAGAUGUGCGCGGUAUGGAUCAGCAGUGAGAAAUGAUCCUCCAUUGAGCGUCAUCACGCAAGACUCCAUGACUGUAGAGGAAGUGGACCAUGUUCUGAAAUCAACUUCUCACAAUGGAUUUCCAGUGAUUGUUUCUCGAGAAUCUCAGUACCUCGUGGGUUUUGUUCUCAGACGAGAUCUUAAUCUUGCUUUAUCCAAUGCACUGAAAAACCAAGAUGGUAUUGUGUAUAACUCCAUUGUAUAUUUCACAAAUCAUGUCACAGAAAACCCUAAUGGCCCUGCUCCUCUGAAGCUGAGGAAAAUCAUUGAUAUGGCCCCAGUUACGAUAACGGACCAGACUCCUAUGGAGAUGGUGGUAGAAAUGUUCAGAAAACUGGGACUCCGACAGACAUUGGUCACACACAAAGGGAGAUUACUGGGAAUUCUCACAAAGAAAGACGUCCUCCGUCACAUAGCUCAUCUAGAGAACCAGGACCCUGAGUCCAUCCUAUUCAACUAGUUCAUUCCGUGUCGUCUGUAGCAAAUUAAUGUCUAGAUAAACAUUUGAUUUAGUUAAACAGUCAUGCAGAUGUAUACAAAGUGCGAUAGAUUCGUCUCAAACUCUAGCAGUGUGGAUCCAGUGGGUGGCUGUGUGUGAAAUAUGAAGUUAUUCUGCAUUAAGAUUCAUUUAAUAAGUCUUUUUGACUGACAAGGUAACAUUUUAAGUCAUUUUAUGUGAGCGUUUGUGUUUGUAUGCAAAUUUAAGUUAUAGUGUGACACUUAUGUAUCCUCGUUUGUUAUGAACUCCAUAAUGUGAUAUUUUGUUAAGUGUUUACUCAUUUCAUUCUUCUACAGAACUAAAUUUAUAUAUGUAUAUUUAUGAAUCUCCAAGAGAUUUCAUUCUGUUGUUAUAAUGAUACAUGUGUAUGUAGUAGCUGUCACAAUUGAUGACCACAGCUUAUGUAAGCAGAUAUCUGUCGUUAAAAAAACACCUCAUGGUCUAUUUUAUACAUGGAUUUAAAUUCUAUAGCAAAGUAUUUGAAAUUUUCCCUCUCCCAUGAUUUUUUCAAACACUCCAUCAAUGGGUUUUGGUUGCAUUUUUUUUUGUUUUUAGUGGGUUUUUUUGGUGACUUAGUAAGAGCAUUCUGUACAAAACCAAAUGUUGGAAACUUACAACUAGACUCACUUAAGCUACAUGUAGUCUGCUGCUGGGUCACCAGCAAUGUACAAUAUUUUGAUUUCUUUCUACCUCAAACUGUUAGAUAAUGUUAUUAUUUUAAUGUUAUCAAUAGAGAAAUAUCAAAUUCGGGUUUUUCAAAAUACAUUUUGUUCAACAGGAAAUUUAUUUCAAAAUUUUCCUGUUUAUAUAAAUAUAUGUAAAUUUAAUCAAAAUAAAUUAAUAUAUUUUUUUCAUAUUUGUAGCAUUACCUAUUCUUUGUUUAGUUAAUGAUGCAGAAUAAUGAGAAACUGAAACAUCUUUGGCAGAUUUAACUCCCUUGAAACAUUUGUCUAUUGCCAAAAUGCAUUUAGAUACAGCUUAUCUUGAAUUUGUCAAAGUGCAUCUAAAUACACUUUCUUAUUUAGAAAUGAUUUGAAAUCUAGAGGAAAAUUUUUAUGAUUUGUUUUGUGAUAUAUUUAUGAUGCCUCUGGCCAAAGAAAUCUGUGAAUUUGAGGUCAAUACCAGACGUCUGUUACUGCUGGGCUAGUUCUUGUUUUGAUUGUGUGCAUCUUGGCUCAUUAAUGUUAACUCUAACAUAUUGUUCAUGUAUUGCUUUGUACAUGUUAUAUGAUCAAAUAAACAAGGACCUGUAUC